rnacentral:rRNA from 1 species
GAUGAACGCUAGCUACAGGCUUAACACAUGCAAGUCGAGGGGAAACGCCAUCGAAAGCUUGCUUUUGAUGGGCGUCGACCGGCGCACGGGAGAGUAACGCGUAUCCCACCUGCCCAUCACUUGGUGAUGACAUUGCGAAAGUAAGACUAAUACCCAUUGUUAUCUCUAGAAGACAUUGGAAAGAGAUUAAAGAUUUAUCGGUGAUGGAUGGUGAUGCGGCUGAUUAGCUUGUUGGCGGGGUAACGGCCCACCAAGGCAACGAUUAGUAGGGGUUCUGAGAGGAAGGUCCCCCAGAUGGGAACCGGGACACGGGCGAAAGUCCUACGGGAGGGAGCAGUGAGGAAUGCUGGUCAAGGGAAGAGAGCCUGAACCAGCCAAGUAGGGUGCAGGAAGACGGCGCUAGGGGUUGUAAACUGCGUUUAUAAGAGAAUUAAGUGAGGGUCGGGACUCUUUUUGUAGGUACCUGAUGAAUAAGGACCGGCUAAUUCCGUG